GACGAACGCUGGCGGCGUGCUUAACACAUGCAAGUCGAAAGAAGUGGCGGACGGGUGAGUAACGCGUAAUCAACCUGCCCUUCAGAGGGGGACAACAGUUGGAAACGACAGCUAAUACCGCAUACUGAAGGAGGGGAUUGAGUCGGAUUAGUUAGUGGGAGGGGUAACGGCCCACCAAGGCGAUGAUAAGUAGCCGUGCUUGGAGGAUGAACGGCCACAUUGGGACUGAUACACGGCCCAGACUCCUACGGGAGGCAGCAGUGGGGAAUCUUCCGGAAUGGACGGAAGUCUGACGGAGCAACGCCGCGUGAGUGAUGACGGCCUUCGGGUUGUAAAGCUCUGUUAAUCGGGACGCGGUACCGGAAUAGAAAGCCACGGCUAACUACGUGCCAGCAGCCGCGGUAAUAC
rnacentral:rRNA from 1 species